AAGUCGAACGGGGAUGCAGCAAAAGCUUGCUUUUAUUGCAUCCUAGUGGCGGACGGGUGAGUAACACGUGAGCAACCUGCCCGACAUACUGGGAUAACAGCGGGAAACCGUUGCUAAUACCGGAUACUCCAUUUCUGGCGCAUGUCAGAGAUGGGAAAGGGUUUACCGAUGUCGGAUGGGCUCGCGUCCCAUUAGCUGGUUGGUGAGGUAACGGCUCACCAAGGCUGCGAUGGGUAGCUGGUCUGAGAGGACGAUCAGCCACACUGGAACUGAGACACGGUCCAGACUCCUACGGGAGGCAGCAGUAGGGAAUAUUGGGCAAUGGAGGCAACUCUGACCCAGCCAUGCCGCGUGAAGGAAUACAGCCCUACGGGUUUUAAACUUCUUUUAUUAUAGAGUAACCGGAGGUACGUGUACCUCCCUGCAAGUAUAUAAUGAAUAAGGAUCGGCUAACUCCGUGCCAGCAGCCGCGGUAAUACGGAGGAUCCGAGCGUUAUCCGGAUUUAUUGGGUUUAAAGGGUGCGCAGGCUGAUCGAUAAGUCAGGGGUGAAAAAUUUCAGCUUAACUGGAAUCGUGCCUUUGAUACUGUCGGACUAGAGUGUAACUGACGUGACUGGAAUGUGCCGUGUAGCGGUGAAAUGCUUAGAUAUGUCACAGAACGCCAAUCGUGAAGACAGGUCACGAAGUUACUACUGACGCUCAUGCACGAAAGCGUGGGGAUCAAACAGGAUUAGAUACCCUGGUAGUCCACGCUGUAAACGAUGAUUACUCGUUGUU
rnacentral:rRNA from 1 species